rnacentral:lncRNA from 1 species
UACAAUUAAAUGAGUCGGGAUUAAUAGGAUUAGACCGUCGAGAGAAGGAGCAGCAGGGGCGGCGGAAGACGAUCCCGAGGCCAUCACGUCGGUGGUGGAGUGGAUCUUCGAGGACGUCGAUGGUGGCGGUGAUGCGGAUGUCGAGGUGGCGCAGAUCCGGCGUCGGUGAGUUUUCCCGUCGCUGGCUGCGCUCCCUGGAUCUGUUAGGGUUUCUAGGGUUUGUGGAUGUCGGUGGGGAGGAGUGGCAACUAUUCAACUCGUGAACAGUGCCGCCGGCCCCCACCUCUUAUUUAUAGCGCAGUGCGACGGGGCCCACCAACCAUAUAGGGUUGGGCGCCCCCGAUCAGGGCGCGAGACAAGGCCCAAUAAGGCCGUUGGGCCAUAUUGGUGGGAGAUCAAACCAACAUUCUCCCCCUUGAUCUCACUCUAUUCUUUGUCUGUAUUCUUUCUUUUCAAACUCUUUUACCUUAUUUAUUUCAUCACAAAUUAGUGCAUAGAACUGCGUCAUCAUCACGGUCUAUCGCCGAUAGACUUGACAGCUACGAAUACACUUCUCUGAUCUGAAACAAAUUCUGUUAUUCUUUGGGCCUCUUUGUCCAGGAAUCAUAGGCUUUCCCUUAAACCCAUGCCGGCUACGUGUUCUCUAAACACGCUGGGUGGUAAGCCUUUGGUAAGCGGAUCCGCAAGCAUCUUUUCAGUGCUUAUAUGCUCAAGCUUUAUGACAUGAUCCCGGAUCUUAUCUUUCACAACAUAGUACUUUAUGUCAAUGUGUUUGGCAGCACCACUUGACCUAUUGUUGUGUGCAUAUUCUACUGCUGGAUUAUUAUCGCAGUAUAACUGUAGUGGUUUAGAGAUGUUAUCAACCACUCUCAAACCGGGUAUGAACUUCUUUAACCAGUUCACCUGCCCCGACGCCUCAAAACAUGCUACAAAUUCGGCAUACAUUGUGGACGAUGUAGUGACCGUCUGUAAUUUACUUUUCCACGAUAUGGCUCCAUUUGCGAGAGUAAAUACAUAGCCUGACGUGGACUUUCUGUUAUCUCCCGCAUAAUCUGAAUCUGAAUAUCCUACUAUCUGUAGGGAAUCUGAUCUCUUGUAUGUAAGCAUGAGGCUCUUUGUUCCUUGCAAAUAACGCAAGACCUUCUUUACUAAUUUCCAGUGUUCCACACCUGGAUUACUCUGAAAUCUGCCAAGCAACCCGGUAACAAAAGCUAAGUCAGGGCGAGUACAUACUUGAGCGUACUGUAAACUUCCAACAGCCGAAGCAUAUGGAACUGAUCUCAUCUGGUUGAGCUCAUACUCAUUCUUGGGACACUGAAAAUCCCCAUAUCUGUCGCCCUUGACUAUCGGUGCAGGUGAUGCACUACAUUUGUGCAUAUUGUAUCUCUCUAGAACUUUUUCUAUAUAUGCUUUCUGUGAUAAUCCCAAUACCCCCUUCUUUCUAUCUCGGUGAAUCUCUAUGCCCAAAACAUAUGAUGCUUCACCAAGAUCUUUCAUGUCAAAUUUCGAGGACAAGAAUUUCUUUGUUUCCUGCAGUAGACCGACAUCACUACUUGCGAGUAGGAUAUCAUCCACAUACAAGAUUAGGAAGAUGUACUUCCCAUUCUUAAACUUUGCAUAAACACAGUUGUCCUCUACAUUCUGUUUAAACCCAAAACUUCUUAUGGUCUCAUCAAACUUCAAAUACCACUGUCUUGAAGCUUGUUUUAAUCCAUAAAUGGAUUUCUUUAGGCGGCAUCCCAUUCGCUCUUUUCCUUCCACGACAAAACCUUUCGGUUGUGCCAUGUAAACAUUUUCCUCCAAAUCCCCAUGUAGGAAAGCCGUCUUAACAUCCAUCUGAUGUAAUUCUAAAUCAUAAUGUGCUACUAGAGCCAUUAUGAUCCUGAAGGAAUCCUUACAUGAGACUGGAGAGAAUGUCUCAUUGUAAUCAAUCCCUUCUCUUUGCGUAAAGCCUUUUGCCACAAGUCGCGCUUUAAAUCUUUCUACAUUCCCUUGGGAGUCAUACUUGGUUUUGUAGACCCAUUUACAGCCUACUGUUUUGGCUCCUUUAGGAAUUUCUUCUAAAUCCCAAACUCCAUUGGAGUUCAUGGAUUUCAUCUCUUCUAUCAUAGCUUCUAGCCACUUCUGUGAGUUGGCGCUUCUCAUGGCCUCAUCAUAUGAGGUGGGAUCACCCUCCAUAUGAAAUUCCUCUGUGUUAAAAACUUCAUAGUCAUCUGGGAUAGCUGACCUUCUGAUUCUUUGAGAUCUUCUCGGUGCCUCCACAGUUGGCACUUGAUCUGGUUGGGGCUGUUGUUGCUCCCCCUCGCCUGUGGCAACUGGUUCUUCUAUGGGCUCCUGAAGGACAGGUUCCUCAUUUUCAUCUGUUGUUGCCACAGGAGAGUGAGCAAUUGUUUCUGGCAUCACAGUGUCGGGCACUGUUGGUGCGUUCACAAUGGGUAAUUCAAAAAAUGGCUCUUGAAUCAUCGGAGUGGGUGCAUACACCCGCUUCUCUUCAAGAUCAAUCUUUCGAGCUACCACGCUCCCCCUGAUCAGCUCAUCCUCUAGAAAUACGGCGUGUCUCGUUUCGACAAACUUUGUAUAUCUGUCUGGACAGUAGAAACGAUAACCCUUUGAUUUUUCUGGGUAGCCAAUGAAAUGGCAACUGACUGUUUUGGGAUCUAGCUUUCCAAUGUUUGGGUUAAAUACUUUAGCCUCAGCUGGGCUCCCCCACACACGCAAGUGGCUUAGCGAGGGAACUCUUCCUGUCCACAACUCAUACGGUGUUUUAGGCACCGAUUUACUGGAAACUCUGUUUAGAAUGUGAAUGGCGGUUUUUAAUGCCUCCAUCCACAAACUUAGUGGUAAUGUAGAGUAACUAAUCAUACUUCGCACCAUAUCCAUCAGGGUACGGUUGCGUCUUUCAGCUACUCCAUUCUGCUGAGGCUCGCCCGGUGUAGAAUACUGGGCUACUAUGCCAUGCUCCUGUAAGAACUUUGCAAAAGGUCCAGGAACUUGGCCAUAAGGGGUGUGCCGACCAUAGUACUCCCCUCCACGGUCGGAUCUGACUAUCUUAAUCUUUAAGUUGUGCUGAUUUUCAACUUCAGCCUUAAAUAUCUUGAACUUAUCUAAUGCCUCUGUUCUUUCUUUAAUUGGAUAAAUAUACCCAAAUCGGGAGUAAUCAUCUGUGAAUGUUAUGAACGAGUCAUAGCCAUCCAUACUUUUCACAGGAAACGGUCCACAGAUGUCCGUGUGGAUUAUUUCUAAAAUCCCAGUGCUUCUUUUGGCAUUCUUUUUAAUUUUCUUUGCAAAUUUUCCUUUAAUGCAGUCUAUGCAUUGAUCUAAUUCUGAGAACUCAAGUGGAGGAAGAAUUUCAUUCUUUACUAAUAUCUCUAUUCUCCCCCUCGAAAUGUGGCCUAAACGACAAUGCCAUAAUUUCGACGAUACAUCUUGAGUUCGCUUUCUUUUUCUAUUCUCACUCUGAGACAAGGACGUGUUUUCUGUAGCAUCACAUACGGAAUUCACUGUUUCACGAAGCGAUAAUAAAUAAAGAUCUUGUUGUUGGAAUGCAACACCAACACAGUCAUUAUUACAAUAAAUCUGGCACUUGCCAUCACCAAAAUGACAAGCAAAAUUAUCAUCGUCCAAACGUGAAACACUAAUCAAAUUUCUCUGAAGCGAAGGAACAUAAAGGACAUCUCUAAGUAAAAGUGUGAAGCCACUAGCAAGCUCCAGGGAGACAUCGCCAACAGCUUCAACAUCUGCUCUGACUCCAUUCGCCACUCUAAUGUGUCUUUCUCUUCUUGUUGUCGUCCUUGUCGAGCUGAACCCCUGUAAAGAAUUAGCAACAUGAACAGUUGCACCUGAGUCAACCCACCAAGUGGAUUUAGAAUAACUUAUAUACAGGGAUUCAUUUACAAAGGUAAUAAUAUUCUCACCACAUGAUCUGAGUUUCAUCUGUAGCCAAUCAGGGCAUCUUUUCUUGUAGUGUCCUUCUUUCUUGCAGUAGAGACAUUGGUUUUGGUUCACUACAAACUGGUUCUGUUGAGGGAGAUGCUGCAUGGUAGGCUGAGACUGGUUCUGGCCCUGGUGCUGGGUGGAAGGCUUGCCCUGUUGCUGCAUAGGGCCCUUUCCCUUGUUCUUUGAAGGAGAAUGGUAAAUCUUUUUCUUGUUGUCCCUCAAAUGGUUGAUUGAACCACCAUUUGAGGCUUUGAUUCUCUCUUCUUCUUGAGCACACAUAGCAAUAGUCUUUUCUAAGUCCCAUGUUUCUGGUUGCAUGUUGUAGUUAACAACAAAGGUUUCAAAUUCUUUUGGCAAUGACGCAAAAACCAAAUGAACAAGGAAAGCAUCAGUGAUGGUGAGAUCCUUGAACUUUUUGAUUUUAGAUGCCAAGUGACUCAUUCUAAGGAUGUGCUCUCUAAUACCAGUGCCACCACCAGUAUAUUUCUGUGAGAUCAGUUCUUUGAUCAUUUCUGUUGCAUACGUUUUUGUAGAGCCAGUAAACUGCCUCUUUAUAGUAUCUAGGUAAUCUUUAACGCUGUCUACUACUGGAAUGGAAUCUGAUAUGUGAGACUCCAUCGUGUUCUGUACAAGCGUUUUACAUUUCUUGUUUGCUGAUUCCCACUUUUUCUUUUCAAGGUCAUAAGACAUCUGGAUGGGAGCAAACUCUCUUUCUCUUUUCUGCCAUGCAUCAUCUGUCUCAUCUGUUGCCCGCACAGGUGGCACGGGCUGGACGGGACGCUCUGUGUCAAGGACCCAGUCCACCUCAGCAAAGGUGAAGGCCAUGUCGAUCUUUUUCCUCCACUCAACGUAGUUGUCCCCUUUGAGUAGUGGAAUGGUGUUGAUGAACGUCAUCAACGAGUAAGCUCCUGAAACACAAACCUCUGGGUGAGAACAUAAAUAAUCACAAUUGUAUGCCUUAGUAUCAACGUUGGUCAAAAUUAAAACAUACAACUGUUUAUGCAAUAAAACUAUAUCACCGUUGGGCAGAAAUAGAAUUAAUGCAUAAUAAUCUUUUAAUCACAUCAUAAUACUGCCAUUAAUCAACGUUGGUCAGAAUAAUAACAAUAUUAUAAUAAUCUGGAAAACAUAUCUAUGUUCAAAGAUUAAAUUCUCCCGUUGGUUCGAAUUUAAUAGUGAAAGAAAUAUCUGUAAAUACGCAGCGGAAACUUUAAUAAUUUCUUUAUCUAUUUUCCAAAAACAUCUGAAUACUUACUGUUCUCUGAAUAAAAUUAUCGUUGGACAAAAUUUAUACAGAGAAAAGCAAUGAAAACUGUGCAAAAUUUAAUUAAAUAUGCAUAAAACUGCUUCUGGAAAAAGAAAAAGGAAAACUGUGCGUUUACUUUGUAAAUGGCCAUUUCGGCCUGGGGUCAGUCGCGGCCGACGCGGCCCAGCAGCGGCUGGCGAGCGCGCGGCCCGGCUCUGUGCGUGGUCACCGCCCAGCGAGCCCAGCAGCGCCUUUUUUUUUUUGUUUCUGUGUUUCGGCCCAGUGGCCAAAAUCGGCCCACUACCGAGCCGCGCGCAGCGCUCCCCCGCGCCCAGGCCGCAACCUGGGCCUGGGCCGGAAAAGUCGUCCCCCGCCUGGGCCGAUUCUGGCCCGAUUCGGUGGGAUUCAAUCUGGACGGUUCGUCUAUAUCCAACGGCUGAGAGCGAAAAUCGGUGCUAUAAAAGGCUCCAAGCCGUCGGCCACCCCAAAACCCUAGUCAUUUCUGUUCUUCCCCUUCUCUGUUCUUUCUCCAGAGCGGCGGCUCCGCCCGGGGCAACAGCCGACGCGGCGGCGGCCAUGGAGGCCACGGCGCCUGUGGUGGUCCGGCUGCUCCCCUCGCUUCUUUCUCUGUUUCUCCUCUGGAGCGGCUGCUCGGGUCUCGGCGGUGGCCAUGGAAGCCACGGCGCCGGUGGACCGCCAGCGGAGCAAGUCCGGCCGGCUUCCCUCCUUUUACUUUUUUUUUUUUGUUUUCCCUCUGUAUCUUUCUCCCCAUCUUCUAUUCUGCACUGGAGCAGUAAGGCGGCCGGCCGUGCUGGCCGUAGAUGGAGGAACAGCACCGUCACGGGCCCCUUCGCCGGCGUGCACGCUCCCCUCUGGGUGAACGUGCCGCCGUCGAAUGGCCUCGUGUCGGCGCUCAUCGACGGAAGGAAGCAGGGAAACAUUCUAGGGUUAGGGUUCUAUGUUUUUGAUCUCGAUCUAGUGUUCUGGAUUCGAAAACUUUUGUUUUCUUUCUUCUGUUCCCGAGAUCUAGAUCUACUGACUAGAUAGGCUCUGAUACCAUUGAUAGAAAUAAUCUGUGCAUAGGAUCGACUAGUAGUAGAUCUAGACGGGUACAAUCUUUAACUGGUAAACAACAAGGUACAUAUUCUAUACAAGAUCUAAAAUGGAAACAGUAAAUACAAUUAAAUGAGUCGGGAUUAAUAGGAUUAGACCGUCGAGAGAAGGAGCAGCAGGGGCGGCGGAAGACGAUCCCGAGGCCAUCACGUCGGUGGUGGAGUGGAUCUUCGAGGACGUCGAUGGUGGCGGUGAUGCGGAUGUCGAGGUGGCGCAGAUCCGGCGUCGGUGAGUUUUCCCGUCGCUGGCUGCGCUCCCUGGAUCUGUUAGGGUUUCUAGGGUUUGUGGAUGUCGGUGGGGAGGAGUGGCAACUAUUCAACUCGUGAACAGUGCCGCCGGCCCCCACCUCUUAUUU